rnacentral:rRNA from 1 species
AGCUCCAAUAGCAUAUACUAAAGUUGUUGCAGUUAAAAAGCUCGUAGUUGAAGUUAAAGUUUUAUUGGGCUUAAGUUUUUUACCACUCUGUGGCUAAAAUAACUCCAAUAAUUCUUUUUUUAAUAGCUCAGUUUCUAGGUCUUUGACUCUAGUUAUUUGGGCAUUUCACUGUGAGAAAAUUGUGGUGUUUAAAGCAGGCGUCUCGUCUGAUCUUUUGCAGCAUGGUAUGAUGGAACAUGACAUUUUACGCUAUUGGUUUGCGUCUAAAGUGUAAUGAUUAAUAGGGAUGGAUGGGGAUGUUCAUAUUGGUGGGCGAGAGGUGAAAUUCGUUGACCCUAUCAAGAUGAACUUCUGCGAAAGCAUUCAUCAAAUACUUCCCCA